GACGAACGCUGGCGGCGUGCUUAACACAUGCAAGUCUACGAGAAAGAGGUAGCAAUAUCUUGAUUAAAGUGGCGCACGGGUGAGUAACACGUAAGCAAUCUACCCUUAGAUCCGGAAUAACUUCGAGAAAUCGAGGCUAAUACCGGGUAAUGCAGCGGCACCGCAUGGUGAUGUUGUUAAAGUUUCGAUGUCUAGGGAUGAGCUUGCGUCUGAUUAGCUAGUUGGUGAGGUAACGGCCCACCAAGGCUACGAUCAGUAGCUGGUCUGAGAGGAUGAUCAGCCACACUGGAACUGAGACACGGUCCAGACUCCUACGGGUGGCAG
rnacentral:rRNA from 1 species